rnacentral:tRNA from 1 species
GGGUAUAGCUCAGUGGUAGAACUCAUGCUUAGCAUGCAUGAGGUCCUGGGUUCAAUCCCCAGUACUUCCA